GAUCAAUGUAAGGAUAUACAGUCGUGUGAAAAAAUAAGUACACCCCAUGGAAAGUGUUGACUUUUUGACAUAUUUGGACAAGCAAACAUUUGAUCAUCUUUGGAACGGUGCCUGUUAAUAAAGUCAAACAAAACCACAAUGAAAAUUGACUUUCUCAAUCAUUUACUCAAUAGAAAUAUCUAUAGAUGAAUUCAUAUUCAUUUGGGUUCACACUAGGCAUUAUGGGUAAUGGAAGAGUGGACAAACUAGCCAAACAUACUGGGGAAAAAAGGAGAGAAGAAAACAGACAUGAGUCUCUCAAAGCCAGAAGGAAAUUGUUAGUGGAAGCAGCAGUGGGACCGGGAGAUAAAAGGAAGACAUUUAUACUCCAUAAUGAUACACAGCACCCUCCAUUAAUAUUGGCACCCUUGGUAAAUAUGAGCAUUAAAAAAAUUCACAGAAAUACUCUGCUCUCAUGGACAUCAAACAAUUGAAAUACAACUCAGGUUUAUAUAUAUUUAAAAAAACAAACAAAAAAAACCACCUUGUUAAAUAUAGGUGUGUAUGUGCAACAAUUAUUGGCACCCCUAUGAAUUCAUGGUGCCAAUAUUAAUGGAGGGCAUUGUAGAAUCGGUAUUGUGGAAAGUAAGGGAAGAAACAGAAAAGAGGAGACAAUCAUGACUAGAUUGAGAAUAAUACACAGAAUAGUUCACUUCACAUUAUAAGGAAGCAGCCAGCUGGUUUGUGAUCAUUGCCAGACGGCAGAAUCUGUAGAACAUGUGCUGCAGAAAAUAUAAAGUAGAAAGAAAGGACAUGACGGAAGAAAUGGAAAGAGUAGGAAUAGUACAGCCUCAUACCCACAACGAAGGUCCGCUGUUUUUCAAACAACAAGCCAUGGAUCAACAAUGACAUUAAAGCCCUCCUAAGCAGGAAAAAAGAGGGUACUCAUGGCAGGAGACAGUGAGGAGGUCAGGUCAGUCCAAAAUGAGCUGGGGGGUGUGGCUGAGGAAAGCAAAAAACAGCUACUGGGAGAGGCUAGCUGGAAAAAAACUGUGCAAGCUGGAAAAAAAAACUGUGCCAAAGAGGUAUGGGACAGCAUGAACAGGAUUACUGGACUUAAAAAUUCCAGACCAGCCAUGGAGGGCAGCCUGGAACAUGCAGAAGAGCUAAACCGGUUUUUCAACAGGUUUGACUCAGCCCCCCACCCCUGAGAGCUGAGAAACAUAUCAGAGCCUAGAAUCUAUAAGGUUUAUAUUCUGUGAUACUACAUUAUUUUAUUUCACCAUUGCUUCAACUUCUUCUGACAAUCCUAAAGACAAAAAAUCAGAACAUAACAACAGAAACAAUAUGUUCCUUCGGUUGACUGUUAGGGUCCAAUACAUGUGCAACCUGGAAAAAAAAAUACAAAUAAGCAUAAACUAUCAUCAUGUUUUAAGAUUUUUAGCAUGGCCAGAAUCAAAUGACUACCAUUCUCUGAAGAUGUUCUGGUAAUGGUUGGCACACACUGCUUUAUUUGGAAGCAUGUCCUCCACUGCCAAGAAGGGCUUGUGGCUUGUAGUCACAGCGUGACAUGUGUGCUCUUCAAAAGAUAAAAAGGGGAAAAAACCAACAACAUGAAUUAUCACAUCAUCUCAAUCAAAGAUGACUAAACUUCCAACCACUACAGGGUCUUCACACCUAAAAUUUGGCUGCAUACUAAACCUACACCAACUAGAACAUGAUUAGCCGGUUAAGGUACUUGGCACUUAAAUUUAAGCGCGGACACAAAAAUAAACCUUCAAAACCCCACCCAAAUCGUGUAGGGCGACACGCGUCAUCCACACCCUACACUCAGUCAGUCGCUCUUUUGCUUUACGGCGGAGUACAACACAGAAAACGGCUCUCCUUUGUCGGAAGACUUUAAACAAGGUAUUGCUUAAUUUUGGAAGAUGGCACACCGUAGGCUCCUGGACAAUGACUUUCUUCUUUUGCUUUUGCUUCUUCGGAAAUUAUGCUUGGAUUACUCCGAAAAGCCAACACUCUGUCUGCCUAUGUGAGCUAUGUCUUCAGGCUGAGGAAAUUUAAUAUUGCAGGUCACCUAAAGGGCAGUUUAGAGUACACUGCGAAAGGCUCUCAGGUCAAAUUAACCACCAAUUUGGGUCUGAACUUCACCAAGAGUGGAAACACAAAUAUUUGGCCUGUGAAUGAACAACAAACACAGGUUAAUUUCCUGUUGAAGAACAGCAUCCAGUUUAAUAGACCUGGGCUUCUGAUACAGAAACUUAGGCUUGGAGAACUACGAAAAGGAACCAAUCUCAUGGCUUCUGUGAGGUAUCAGAAAUAUGAUGUGCCCGUUGAGAUAACGUACAGCUACACCACCAAAGAAGCAUGGUUCUACAAAUUCGAUAGCAGAGCAGUUCUAAACUGCACCACCAGUAGCAACACCACUUUUUGUCCGGUGUAUACACAGGAUAGUUUCUCUAUGGAAGUCAGCAUCCUGUUUUCUAAGCUGGGCUACUAAGGUCUGUGCCAAUCAACAUACCUGUGUAAAUAUUGCAUUGUUCAUCUUUGGAACGGUGCCUGUUAAUAAAGUAAAACAAAACCAC
ensembl:lncRNA